CUAACACACUUAUUUCUAAACAAGUCUGUUUUCAGCUUUAAAGAUAUUGGUCGUGUCCGAAUACCCAUAUGCUAGCUUACAAAAUAUUAUGCGAAAAUUAACGUCUUAUAGUAUAUUAAAUUUCGAAUGCAUCAUCCAUCUAAUGCGCCAUUGCGUUGACUCCCACCAUUCGUUCAUUUUGUUACAGGGCGUCAAUCUCUCAUUAUCACCUCUUGUCAAACACGUAAGUCGUAAAAGACGAGUGAAUUCUCCUAAAUCAAACGCGAAAUGAGUAUGCAGUUUAAUGAAGCAUAUAAUACGCUAGUAUUGGUAUUCGGACACAACUACUGAUCAUAGAUUUGAUGUGUAAUGUAAUAAGUAGUACCGUAUUUCAAAGAACAGUGCGCGUUCAUUUUUCAUGUAACCACGCCCUUUGAGCUAUGACACCAACCAAUAAGAUCAUUUCUAUUCUGUGUAAAAGGAAGUAAACAGUGACCAAGAACAAUUUCUUGUUAGCGUUUUUGUUUUUAUUUAGACGUUUAACAACACCCUGGAACUCAAACUCAUUUAACUGCACAGAAUCACAUACUUACCUCAGGUGAAGGACAUCUCACUGGAGGCCACAGGAGCUUUGCAAAGCCAGCAGGACACAACGUGUGGAGAGAUGACCAACCUAUAGCUAUAGAUGGGGGGAGUGGAACCUCAACCCAGCAUGUUAUUGUGAUAGAGUCUGCAGAUGCAGAGGCUGCAGGUCCUGGGGUCAAGCAGGAGAGGUCUGAAGGAGAGGAGGACCCACGGCACAGUAGCGAUAUUCAGACUGGAGCAGCAGCUGGAGUGGCGCCCCCUGUAGCCACGGAGGACCUACACACCGCCGCCGCUCCCAGGCCUAGGACACGACGCAGCAUCACGGAGGUCAGUGGAACGCCGAACGCCGUCCUCAAGUCAGAGACAGAUAAAGAGACUUUAAC